rnacentral:rRNA from 1 species
GACGAACGCUGGCGGCGUGCUUAACACAUGCAAGUCGAACGGAAAGGCCCUGCUUUUGUGGGGUGCUCGAGUGGCGAACGGGUGAGUAACACGUGAGUAACCUGCCCUUGACUUUGGGAUAACUUCAGGAAACUGGGGCUAAUACCGGAUAGGAGCUCCUGCUGCAUGGUGGGGGUUGGAAAGUUUCGGCGGUUGGGGAUGGACUCGCGGCUUAUCAGCUUGUUGGUGGGGUAGUGGCUUACCAAGGCUUUGACGGGUAGCCGGCCUGAGAGGGUGACCGGCCACAUUGGGACUGAGAUACGGCCCAGACUCCUACGGGAGGCAGCAGUGGGGAAUAUUGCACAAUGGGCGGAAGCCUGAUGCAGCAACGCCGCGUGCGGGAUGACGGCCUUCGGGUUGUAACCCGCUUUCGCCUGGGACGAAGCGUGAGUGACGGUAAUGGGUAAAGAAGCACCGGCUAACUACGUG